UACGAAGAGGGCUAGCGUUGUUCGGAAUUACUGGGCGUAAAGGGCGCGUAGGCGGUGUGUCAAGUCAGGCGUGAAAGCCCCGGGCUCAACCUGGGAACCGCGCUUGAGACUGGCACGCUCGAGUUCGGGAGAGGAUGGUGGAAUUCCCAGUGUAGAGGUGAAAUUCGUAGAUAUUGGGAAGAACACCGAUGGCGAAGGCAGCCAUCUGGACCGACACUGACGCUGAGGCGCGAAAGCGUGGGGAGCAAACAGG
rnacentral:rRNA from 1 species